CACGUAGGGGGCGAGCGUUGUCCGGAUUUAUUGGGCGUAAAGAGCUCGUAGGCGGUUUCGUAAGUCGGAUGUGAAAACUCCAGGCUCAACUUGGAGACGCCAUUCGAUACUGCGAUGACUUGAGUCCGGUAGGGGAGUGUGGAAUUCCCGGUGUAGUGGUGGAAUGCGUAGAUAUCGGGAGGAACACCAGUGGCGAAGGCGGUUGCCUGGGGCUUUGCUGACGCUGAGGCGCGAAAGCGUGGGGAGCGAUCCGG
rnacentral:rRNA from 1 species